CAUUUCUUGAAAUCCUAAAUCUUUGAACUUUUUUCUUUAAAAAAAGGGAAAUGACCUUUAUUUUGAGUGUAGUUAAACUGAUGGGUAAUGUUGAUAUUUGGGUUUUCUUUGAGAAAUUGAAAGUUGAAACCCUAAUUAGUGGGUUUCUACUGAAGCAUUUUAGUAAAUAGAAGUGCAAAAUUAAGCAUAAAAUGGUUAUUGACUCACAGUUAAGCGCGGCUUCCGUGUAGGAAACAUUAAUGGAUCAAGUAAUGUAGAAAUAGAACUGCCCAUUUGCAUUACUGCUGAACUGAUCAAUGAUUGAAUUAAUAGCCGAAGUUCUAUCUGGAAUAGAGGAAAAUGAAACGGAUAAUGCGGAUUAGUAUGAUACAAACAGACAGAAGGGUAUAACUGAGGGGAUCUCUUUCUUACUGAUUAUGUAUUCAAUUGGGCAUAAAGCAGGCAAUAGACUAUUCCAUAGAAAGGCUGAUUUGAAAAGAUUGUGGGAGGUGAGUGUAUUCCAGUUAUUGUUUUAUUACCUUGUUAGGCUUCUGUUAAUUGAAGGAUGAGAGUAUAAUAGGAUUGAAGCUCAAUUGUGGUUUGAAUGGGCUUAAUGGUUUCUUUGCAUACAACUCGGAGAGCUUGGCAUGCCUUUGUGUGCUCGGUUUUAGCUGUUCUGGUGUUAAGUGAUUGAGUAGCAGUUUUCUGACUUUUUCAUGAUUACUUGAUCUGUUCAUUUGUUGAUGCAAGAAGUGAGGCUGAAUGAUAAGUCUUUGAGGUUGGUUAUAGUGAGUAACCGUAAAUUGUGAUAGAUGAUCUAUGUUUUCAUAUGGCUCUUUGGUUAACAUAAAAACUGUGGAAGCCCUCUGAUGUUCAUCUUUUUGCUUCGUCUCCUUACUGUUAUUCUGUGCUUGCCCAUUUAAUUCACUGCUAAAUUUUGUAUAUUACUCAACUGUAUCUUAAUUCAAUUGCAUAUUUGGAGCUCUGACAUUGUUUGUAAUAAUCUUGGAAUCUAACAUGAUUUUUGAUAGUUAUUAUCUUAUUAA